GCCGAAGUGGUGGAAUUUGGUAGACACGCACGCUUGAGGGGCGUGUGGAGUAAUCCGUGGGGGUUCGAGUCCCCCCUUCGGCA
rnacentral:tRNA from 1 species